UUUAAAUUACUCAGUGCCUUUAGGUCCUCCUUUCCUUUUAAUUAAAUGAAUUAAGUACAUUAAUUUUACUAAGUGAUACAAUUCAAUUUUCAUUGAGGAAGUUGGACUUCCCUCCAAGUAGGUCAUCUAAUGUAAAAUUAUAAUUUUAAGAAAUUUCAAUUAUUAAGAUAUUUUCCUAUUUCUUUACAUUAAGAACAAAUUUCAAACAUACAUCUUUAUCAGUGGUACUCUAGCAUAUUAACAAUAAUGACUGUUAUGGAGAAUUGACUCUGAGCCAGGACAAUCCAUAUGACUCACAUACAUUAUGUCUCAUUUACUUUUUAAGAUAACCCUUAAAACAAGUACUAUUUUUAUCCCCACUUAACUAAUGAGGAACCAUCCUCAGUAGAAUCAGAAUUUGAAUCCAGAUCUAUCUGUCUGCAUAGGAUCAGCAUUGAAUCAUUAGCAAUAUUGCCAUAUUUUAUAAAUGUAAUAUAAUUCAGUCAUUAAGAGACAUAGUAUGAUAAUGUUUUUAAGAAAUAAAGAUUCCUGUUAAUCCUUCCACAUACAAUUCCCUGUAAUAUAAUUACUCUGUCUCCUGGGAAAAUAUGUAAUAUGGACGAUAACCUUGAAGAAGGAAAGAAAAGUGUAUUUGCAGCAGUCUCUUCACAGAUUAAAGCCCUGUCUAUAUUACUCCAAAAUAUUUAAGUCAGGCAAGAAUGGUUUGUAUUUUGUUUUGCUGUACCUGAAAUUGUUUUGUAAACUUAGCUCAUGCUUCUUUUUGUUUAACUGAUGGAGAUCAACUAAUUAAAUACUCAGUUUCAGGAAAGCACUUGUAGUAGCCUAGCUCUGAAGUUGAUGUUUAGAUUUGAUUUACACCUGGAUGAUUAUGAGAGUUGGAUUUCUGUUUUCACAUUUCAGUGUUUUGUUAAGUGCAGUCACCAAACACAUUUGAUGAAAUCAGAAUGACUCAUGCAUGCUGAGAAUCACUCAAAACUGAAGAAAAGAAAGGUGCUUAAGAAGUUUUUACAGGUUGGACACAUUGGAGAGUUAAAGUAUUAUGAGCAGAAAAUAGGUCAGGGCUUGCAAUGUGGAAGAGACACUAGGGAAGGUGGCAGACACGGAGAGAGAAGGGGUAUCAUCCAUGGUGAACACACUGGGCAAGUCAUUGGGUACUGCAAAAUGCAUAUCAACAUUUUCAAAGCUCCAAGAUAAUUUAUAGCAAAGAAACCACUUUUCACUUUCUUAAAUUCAUGUAUCAUUUGUUAUUAAAAAAAAUAAUAAAAAUGUUCUCAUUA